rnacentral:misc_RNA from 1 species
GAUGAAGAACGCAGCGAAAUGCGAUAAGUAAUGUGAAUUGCAGAAUUCAGUGAAUCAUCGAAUCUUUGAACGCACAUUGCGCCCGCCAGUAUUCUGGCGGGCAUGCCUGUUCGAGCGUCAUUUCAACCAUCAAGCCCCCGGCUUGUGUUGGGGACCUGCGGCUGCCGCAGGCCCUGAAAAGCAGUGGCGGGCUCGCUGUCACACCGAGCGUAGUAGCAUACAUCUUGCUCUGGGCGUGCUGCGGGUUCCGGCCGUUAAACCACCUUCAUAACCCAAGGUUGACCUCGGAUCAGGUAGGAAGACCCGCUGAACUUAAGCAUAUCAAUAAGCGGAGGA